UCGCCAGACUCCUACGGGAGGCAGCAGUGGGGAAUAUUGCACAAUGGGGGAAACCCUGAUGCAGCGACGCCGCGUGAAGGAUGAAGUAUUUCGGUAUGUAAACUUCUAUCAGCAGGGAAGAAAAUGACGGUACCUGACUAAGAAGCCCCGGCUAACUACGUGCCAGCAGCCGCGGUAAUACGUAGGGGGCAAGCGUUAUCCGGAUUUACUGGGUGUAAAGGGAGCGUAGACGGCGGCGCAAGUCCGGAGUGAAAGCCCACGGCCCAACCGUGGGACUGCUCUGGAAACUGUGCGGCUUGAGUGCGGGAGGGGCAGGCGGAAUUCCUGGUGUAGCGGUGAAAUGCGUAGAUAUCAGGAGGAACACCGGUGGCGAAGGCGGCCUGCUGGACUGCAACUGACGUUGAGGCCCGAAAGCGUGGGGAGCAAACAGGAUUAGAUACCCGUGUAAA
rnacentral:rRNA from 1 species